AGUAAAAUGAAGAGGUUUUAUAAUCUGAAACUAUCUGAUGUUGAUACAUACAUUCAUGGUCUUCAAAGUUCUCUGAUUGCU
rnacentral:snoRNA from 1 species